GGGGGAGGACGACAUGACUUGGGAUGCGCCGAUGUGGAGCUGACGGUGGGGAUCCCGAAAAAGAGAUUGGCGUUGACGAUCGCGACGAUGGACGUUGUUGCUUCAUUCCACAUGGCCUUCAGGUGGAGGAGACGGCCUCCAGGAUAGCUCUCUAGUGGAAAUCUGUGGAAGUGGAAGCGAUUCGCGGAAGCAGCUAGGCAACCUCGGGGUUGUUGCUCCUGGCAACACUGGGGAGGAGGGUGAGUUAAGAAGAGACAGGUAGGCGUAGGUGUGAGGACGGUGAGGGCAAGGACAGGUUUCUCUGCUUGGUGAUCCAUGAGACAGCCGUUUAGGUUUUCCUUUGUUAUCAGAGAUGGGUCGCACCUCCCGAGAGCGACGAAUUCACAAACAGGUGUGAAAUUAACAAACGUGGUUGUCGUCAAAACUGUGAGCAAGAACUGUGUUGCAAGGGUUUCGAAGAGGGCUUGGCGUGGAAGAGAAAAUGGCUCCGUGCCGGAAUUCCGUGCGGCGGCUCUGCGUUUGCGGCGUGUUCGUGUUCUUUCUUCUUUUAGCAGAUUCUGCUGCCGCGCAGGAGCUACAGCGGCAACGGGCAUCUGGAGAAGUUGGUCCAUCUCAAAAUUUCUAUCUCCGAGGAACAGCAGCAUCUUUAGCAGAGCCCCAAGCAAGCAUUGACGAAUUAUCCUUUGAAGAAUUUGAGAGGCGAGAGUUGACAGAUCAGUACAGCGACCCAGGCGCCAACUGUGAGAACGACCCCAGCUUGUGCCCGUGACGCAUCCAUGAUGCACACUGCAAUGUCGAAAUGUUUUUAGGGUUAGCAAUCAUUGAGCUCCCAACUAAAGGUGUACCUGCACAACACUUUGACAUAUUGAAAUGUUCCACUUAGAGUUGAUGAUGAACAUGUGGGCUGCGUAUCUUGGAUAUUGGCGAAUUGGGUUUCUCCUAGUUCCUUCUUGUUGCUUGUGUGAUGCUCUAAAAUAGUGAGGUGUACCGAAAGACCGUUCUCUUCCCGUAGAAAAAUUGCGUCUAAUGAUGUGAUCAUAACUUGGGGAUUGUCCACUGGCCCAGAGACUUGGCCCCAGUCUUUUACGGCACGCUGAAGGCUAAAAAUACACCUCCGUUGGAGGACUGAAAGAAACAAAAUCAA